rnacentral:piRNA from 1 species
UGGAGCCUCAGAUAACAGAAGCCAUGGG